rnacentral:rRNA from 1 species
UACGUAGGGGGCGAGCGUUGUCCGAAGUUACUGGGCGUAAAGCGCGCGUAGGCGGUCUUUUAAGUCUGGUGUGAAAGGUUCAGGGCUCAACCCGAACAGUGCACUGGAUACUGGGAGACUUGAGUGCGGGAGAGGAGAGUGGAAUUCCUGGUGUAGCGGUGAAAUGCGCAGAUAUCGGGAGGAACACCAAUGGCGAAGGCAGCUCGCUGGGACGGUACUGACGCUGAGACGCGAAAGCGUGGGGAGCAAACGGG